GCGUACGGCUCAGUAACACGUAGUCAACCUGCCCUGGAGACAUGGACAACCCCGGGAAACUGGGAUUAAUCCGUGAUAGGUCAUCUCAUCUGGAAGGAGAGAUGGCUUAAAGGGGUGCGAGAGCUUCUUUCUUGCAUUCGCUCCAGGAUGGGACUGCGGCCGAUCAGGCUGUUGGCGGUGUAAUGGACCACCAAACCUGUAACCGGUACGGGCCUUGAGAGAGGGGGCCCGGAGAUGGACACUGAGAGAAGGGUCCAGGUCCUACGGGGCGCAGCAGGCGCGAAACCUUCGCAAUGCGCGAAAGCGUGACGAGGUUAAUCCGAGUGAUCCCCGCUGAGGGGAUCUUUUGUUGGCUGUAAAAAGGCCGAUGAAUAAGGGGAGGGCAAGUCUGGUGUCAGCCGCCGCGGUAAUACCAGCUCCUCGAGUGGUCGGGGCGAUUAUUGGGCCUAAAGCAUCCGUAGCCUGUUCUGUAGGUCCUCUGUUAAAUCCAGCGGCUUAACCGUUGGCCCGCAGAGGAUACCGCAGGACUAGGAGGCGGGAGAGGUGGACGGUACUCGACGUGUAGGGGUAAAAUCCUUUGAUCCGUCGAAGA
rnacentral:rRNA from 1 species